rnacentral:misc_RNA from 1 species
CCUCCCACGCCUUUAAUAACACUGAUUUAACCUGAUUAUAAGAAUGAUAUUUUUUUCGUAAAGUGGUUAAUUACAAACAAUUUGGUCAUGGAAAAGGUAAAUUUUUUUAUGUAAAAAGACACAAUAUUUUUUAAAAUCCAAUAGAUAAAUUACAUGUUUCAAAUUUUAUUAAACAUUAUAAAUAUACAAUUAUAUUUACCUACACUAAUAGGAUACCCACUAAAUGUAGCAGGUUACUCAUUAAUUAUAGAAAAUACUAAAAUAACUAAAAUAGUACUAAUAUGUUAAAUUUUUCUAUAGAGUUUUAUAAUUUCAAUUAAAAUUAUAGAUUUUAAAUGUGAUAUGUUAUAUCUUAUUCGAUUAUUGUCUUUAACUAAUAUUUUAUUUUAUAGUAUUACUAACAUUAUAUUUUAUGUGUUUCUUUUCUUCGUGAAGUUUUUUUUUUAAUUAUCAAAAUUUUCAUAAUUA